rnacentral:lncRNA from 1 species
UCCGAAGCCACGUGGGUCCGACAGAUGCGGUAGCCCUCCGUUUUUCCUGCGACGCUUGGUUUUAAACGGUUUGCGCUCCGCUGCCAAAAUGCGGCGCGUGGCUCCGAGCCAAGAGCCCCGAGGCAGAAAGGGGGGACAGGAAGACAUUUUUAUCAAGUGCCAGACCCUCUGUAUGAAAUCCACGCGCGCAAUCUGCUCACUGAACUCUUCCAGGCGCUCUCAGAGGUUCGUUUCGCCAAGGGAUGUCUCGGCCGCUCCGAAGUCCGUUGCGGAUCUUCUUAGAAGUUAUUUAUCGUUACUGCUCCGAGAUGCUGAGAAACCCCCGAAACACCCAAUCAUCGAUCACAAGGACAGACGCAACGUUCGCUCGAGUGCCAGUAUCGCCAUUGAGCUGGGAAAAAAUGCUCCGGGCCUUUGGCAUUCUUGAACAACCGCUGGCCUAAUGUUGAGAUCAAACAAAUCAGAAAUUCACUUAGUUCCAUAAAUGCAGCUCUAUGAAUUCUGUAUGCUUUCUGUUUGGUCAAAACUAACCACUCCAACAUCUUAAUUCCUUUUUAAUCAAACUGAUAAAUGACGCAAAUCCCUUUAAUCCAAAAUUCUUCCGUUUAAAUUCGCGGAAGCAGCAAGACCAGACUAUAAAACUCUGAGCGUUGAGGAAGGUCUGAAAAGUCAUUGCAAUUUUCAUUUUUACGUAAAGACUUGAGGCUUGCGAUAAAUGUCUACGGGGUUGACGUACGAUCCCCGACAGAGCUGAAUGACUGGACCGGCCCCUGCGUUAGGCUGCGACACCGAACGACCGUGAGGGUCCUGCAGCCCCUAACUGCCCAAAAAAACCCUCCAUCCCUAGGCAGACCUCUGCAUUCUACGUCGAAUCCUCUCAGUGACAAAGCACACGAUAGGUUAACAAUUCGACAUCUGUAACAUGUUCCCUCGAAGCUGCACUUAUGACAGCACCGCAUCCAUCACUCAGACAACACUGG